ensembl:misc_RNA Y_RNA Y RNA
GGUGUGUUUACAACUAAUUGAUCACAACCAGUUACAGAUUCCUUUGGUUCUUCUCCGCUCCCAUUGCUUCACUUGACUAGCCUUAA